rnacentral:piRNA from 1 species
UAUAGAUGUGUACUCGGAGAG